CAGUAGCCGCGGUAAUACGGAGGGUGCAAGCGUUAAUCGGAAUUACUGGGCGUAAAGCGCACGCAGGCGGUCUGACAAGUCAGAUGUGAAAUCCCGGGCUUAACCUGGGAACUGCAUUUGAAACUGUCAGGCUGGAGUCUUGUAGAGGGGGGUAGAAUUCCAGGUGUAGCGGUGAAAUGCGUAGAGAUCUGGAGGAAUACCGGUGGCGAAGGCGGCCCCCUGGACAAAGACUGACGCUCAGGUGCGAAAGCGUGGGGAGCAAACAGGAUUAGAUACCCCGGUAGUCCCUGUCUCUUAUACA
rnacentral:rRNA from 1 species